CUGGUGUACCAGUUGUUCUGCCAAGGGCACGGCUGGGUAGCUAAGCAGGGACGGGAUAAGCGCUGAAAGCAUCUAAGUGCGAAACCCUCCACGAGAAGAGAUCUCCUCCAUUUCGAUGGUAAGGCUCGUGGGAGACUACCACGUAGAUAGGCCGGAGGUGUAAGUAUGGUGACAUACUCAGCUGACCGGUACUAAUCGGCCGAAAGCUUGGUCA
rnacentral:rRNA from 1 species